AAGAUUCAAACUAGCUAUUUCUCAUUUGGGUUUGCGUUUUGGUAUAAUCCAACAAUACAUAUAUGAUUUGAGUUGAUAUUUUGAUGUACUGCGUAUGGGUUGAGUAGGUAUUCCGAUGUACUUCGAAUUAGGUGAGUGAAUAUUUGGUGUGCUGUGAGCUUCCAAGUUAGUUGAACCUAAUGAAAACCAAUUCAUUAUGAUAAGAUAAAACAUUUACCAAGUGAAGGAGGAGAUGGAUACAAGAUUGAAAUCGGCUUCGGUUGAUAAUUUUUCUAAACAAAAUACGGUGCACAAGGAAUUAAGGGAAUGGCUUGCAAAGGAUGUCAGUGCUUAUGAAGAAAACUAAUUGAGAUUUCCUCCUUCAGUUCCAGAGUAUAGCAAAAGCGUCGGCGCAUCCAGUAAAUUUAAGAUGUCCAUAACAAAGAUUUAGCUCAGCAUGGGAUAUCAUUAUCUGGAACAAAGAGGAUGCUGGAGUUUUAAUGCAAAAUUCAGCAGACCCCCAAGUGAAGGGGAGGUGAGGUAACACAUGAGCGUAAGAAAUGUUUUGGCAUUGAAUAUCAUAAAAUAACGACUCAGUUUGGAACAAGAGAUUUUAGCCCCUUUUACACUCAUCUCCUUUUCGUAUCGCUCAUCUAAGAAACACCCAUUUUGUAACUGGGAGUAGGGAGUAAAUUUAUUAAGAUGGUUGUAAUUUUAUAUGUCCAGAAUAAUGAAUCAUUUGUUUCAGAAGACUGCCUAUAAAUAUGUAGUACAGUAUAUACUUUCUUUUGUAAAGUGUGUAGAAGUUGGUCUUUCAACUUUUAGA